rnacentral:rRNA from 1 species
AACGAACGCUGGCGGCAUGCCUAACACAUGCAAGUCGAACGAGACCUUCGGGUCUAGUGGCGCACGGGUGCGUAACGCGUGGGAACCUGCCCUUAGGUUCGGAAUAACUCCCCGAAAGGGGUGCUAAUACCGGAUAAUGUCUUCGGACCAAAGAUUUAUCGCCUUUGGAUGGGCCCGCGUUGGAUUAGCUAGUUGGUAGGGUAAAAGCCUACCAAGGCGACGAUCCAUAGCUGGUCUGAGAGGAUGAUCAGCCACACUGGGACUGAGACGCGGCCCAGACUCCUACGGGAGGGAGGAGUGGGGAAUAUUGGAAAAUGGGCGAAGGCCUGAUCCAGCAAUGCCGCGUGAGUGAUGAAGGCCGUAGGGUUGUAAAGCUCUUUUACCCGGGAUGAUAAUGACAGUACCGGGAGAAUAAGCUCCGGCUAACUCCGUG